rnacentral:rRNA from 1 species
GUGGGGAAUAUUGCACAAUGGGCGCAAGCCUGAUGCAGCAACGCCGCGUGAGGGACGACGGCCUUCGGGUUGUAAACCUCUUUUAGCAGGGAAGAAGCGAAAGUGACGGUGCCUGCAGAAAAAGCACCGGCUAACUACGUGCCAGCAGCCGCGGUAAUACGUAGGGUGCAAGCGUUGUCCGGAAUUAUUGGGCGUAAAGAGCUCGUAGGCGGUUUGUCGCGUCUGCUGUGAAAACCCGAGGCUCAACCUCGGGCCUGCAGUGGGUACGGGCAGAGUAGAGUGCGGUAGGGGAGAUUGGAAUUCCGGGUGUAGCGGUGGAAUGCGCAGAUAUCAGGAGGAACACCGAUGGCGAAGGCAGAUCUCUGGGCCGUAACUGACGCUGAGGAGCGAAAGCGUGGGGAGCGAACAGGAUUAGAUACCCGGGUAGUCC